GACGAACGCUGGCGGCGUGCCUAAUACAUGCAAGUUGAGCGCUGAAGGUUGGUACUUGUACCAACUGGAUGAGCAGCGAACGGGUGAGUAACGCGUGGGGAAUCUGCCUUUGAGCGGGGGACAACAUUUGGAAACGAAUGCUAAUACCGCAUAAAAACUUUAAACACAAGUUUUAAGUUUGAAAGAUGCAAUUGCAUCACUCAAAGAUGAUCCCGCGUUGUAUUAGCUAGUUGGUGAGGUAAAGGCUCACCAAGGCGAUGAUACAUAGCCGACCUGAGAGGGUGAUCGGCCACAUUGGGACUGAGACACGGCCCAAACUCCUACGGGAGGCAGCAGUAGGGAAUCUUCGGCAAUGGACGAAAGUCUGACCGAGCAACGCCGCGGGAGUGAAGAAGGGUGUCGGAUCGUAAAACUCUGUUGGUAGAGAAGAACGUUGGUGAGAGUGGAAAGCUCAUCAAGUGACGGUAACUACACAGAAAGGGACGGCUAACUACGUG
rnacentral:rRNA from 1 species